rnacentral:rRNA from 1 species
AACGAACGCUGGCGGCAUGCCUAACACAUGCAAGUCGAACGAGACCUUCGGGUCUAGUGGCGCACGGGUGCGUAACGCGUGGGAACCUGCCCUUAGGUUCGGAAUAACUCCCCGAAAGGGGUGCUAAUACCGGAUAAUGUCUUCGGACCAAAGAUUUAUCGCCUUUGGAUGGGCCCGCGUUGGAUUAGCUAGUUGGUAGGGUAAAAGCCUACCAAGGCGACGAUCCAUAGCUGGUCUGAGAGGAUGAUCAGCCACACUGGGACUGAGACACGGCCCAGACUCCUACGGGAGGCAGCAGUGGGGAAUAUGGGACAAUGGGCGAAAGCCUGAUCCAGCAAUGCCGCGGGAGUGAUGAAGGCCUUAGGGUUGUAAAGCUCUUUUACCCGGGAUGAUAAUGACAGUACCGGGAGAAGAAGCGCCGGCUAACUCCGU